rnacentral:misc_RNA from 1 species
CGCGCGUGGUCGAGGACGAUCCGGCGCUGAUCGCCGCGCUGAUGCCGAAGGAUUACAAGGCGAAGCCCGAACAGGCGAUCCUGUUCAAGAUCACCGCAUGGGACAGCAACUGCCCGCAGCACAUUCCCAUGAAGUUCGACGCGGCCGAUGUCGCGGCGGCGAUCGCGGCCCGCGAUGAGCGCAUCGCGGAGCUCGAGGCGGAAGUGGCGCAAUUAAAGGCGCGGUCACCUUGAAGACAUUCCUCCCUCUCCCCGCCUGCGGGGAGAGGG